rnacentral:rRNA from 1 species
UACGUAGGUGGCAAGCGUUGUCCGGAUUUAUUGGGUUUAAAGGGUGCGUAGGCGGCCUUAUAAGUCAGUGCUGAAAUAUCCCGGCUUAACCGGGAGGGUGGCAUUGAUACUGUAGGACUUGAGUAAAGUUGAGGUUGGCGGAAUUGACGGUGUAGCGGUGAAAUGCUUAGAUAUCGUCAAGAACACCGAUAGUGAAGACAGCUAACUAAGCUUUAACUGACGCUGAGGCACGAAAGUGUGGGGAUCAAACAGG